GCCAGCAGCCAUAUCACCCUGUAACUCACAACUGGCAACCACUGAAGCUAAGCAGGUGUGAGCCUGGUCAGUACCUGGAUGGGAGACCUCCUGGGAAAAACUAAGGUUGCUGCUGGAA
ensembl:rRNA 5S_rRNA 5S ribosomal RNA